GAUGAACGCUGGCGGCGUGCUUAACACAUGCAAGUCGAACGGGAAAUAUUUCAUUGAGACUUCGGUGGAUUUGAUUUAUUUCUAGUGGCGGACGGGUGAGUAACGCGUGGGUAACCUGCCUUAUACAGGGGGAUAACAGUCAGAAAUGGCUGCUAAUACCGCAUAAGCGCACAGAGCUGCAUGGCUCAGUGUGAAAAACUCCGGUGGUAUAAGAUGGACCCGCGUUGGAUUAGCUAGUUGGUGGGGUAACGGCCCGCCAAGGCGACGAUCCAUAGCCGGCGUGAGAGGGUGAACUGGCACAUUGGGACUGAGACGCGGCCCAGACUCCGACGGGAGGCAGCAGUGGGGAAUAUUGCACAAUGGGGGAAGCCCUGAUGCAGCGUCGCCGCGUGAAGGAAGAAGUAUCUCGGUAUGUAAACUUCUAUCAGCAGGGAAGAUAGUGACGGUACCUGACGAAGAAGCCCCGGCUAACUACGUG
rnacentral:rRNA from 1 species